rfam:Geobacteraceae bacterium GWC2_58_44 gwc2_scaffold_2501, whole genome shotgun sequence.
CAAGUCCCGUACGAUGAAGGAGUAAGCGAACCGCAUCGGCCCCGAGUCAUGGGUAGGCGUUCGCAAGAACGCAGGCCAAGCGCUGACAGGGGACAUGCAGGCCGGGAUAUCGAGCCGCGAAAAGACCCUCAUUCAGGGCGCUGACGCCAUCAAGGUACG